rnacentral:rRNA from 1 species
AUUGAACGCUGGCGGCAUGCCUUACACAUGCAAGUCGAACGGCAGCACGGGAGCAAUCCUGGUGGCGAGUGGCGAACGGGUGAGUAAUAUAUCGGAACGUGCCCAGUCGUGGGGGAUAACGUAGCGAAAGCUACGCUAAUACCGCAUACGAUCUAUGGAUGAAAGCGGGGGAUCGCAAGACCUCGCGCGAUUGGAGCGGCCGAUAUCAGAUUAGGUAGUUGGUGGGGUAAAGGCUCACCAAGCCGACGAUCUGUAGCUGGUCUGAGAGGACGACCAGCCACACUGGGACUGAGACACGGCCCAGACUCCUACGGGAGGCAGCAGUGGGGAAUUUUGGACAAUGGGCGCAAGCCUGAUUCAGCAAUGCCGCGUGCAGGAAGAAGGCCUUCGGGUUGUAAACUGCUUUUGUACGGAACGAAACGGCCUGGGUUAAUACCCUGGGCUAAUGACGGUACCGUAAGAAUAAGCACCGGCUAACUACGUGCCAGCCGCCGCAGUAACAC